rnacentral:lncRNA from 1 species
AAUUAUUUAAUCAAUGAAAUCAGAUUCUUCUUUAUAGAGAGCUCCUUUGUCUUACUCUGCAUUCUUUUUUCUCUCUUUUGUUUUCUUGCACUGAUUUAUGUUGUGGUGCUCUUGUCUCCCAACGACAGUGCCCUGCCGAAGCUCUUCCCCUACCACAGGAGAUUCUUUUGAAGUCGAUGAUUCGAGACCUCAAAAGGAAAGUUCGUCACCUGAUGAAGAAAUCAAAGAAGCUGGAUGACGAACUUCACCAGCU